GACGAACGCUGGCGGCGUGCUUAACACAUGCAAGUCGAACGGAAAGGCCCUGCUUUUGUGGGGUGCUCGAGUGGCGAACGGGUGAGUAACACGUGAGUAACCUGCCCUUGACUUUGGGAUAACUUCAGGAAACUGGGGCUAAUACCGGAUAGGAGCUCCUGCUGCAUGGUGGGGGUUGGAAAGUUUCGGCGGUUGGGGAUGGACUCGCGGCUUAUCAGCUUGUUGGUGGGGUAGUGGCUUACCAAGGCUUUGACGGGUAGCCGGCCUGGGAGGGUGACCGGCCACAUUGGGACUGAGAUACGGCCCAGACUCCUACGGGAGGCAGCAGUGGGGAUUAUUGCACAAUGGGCGGAAGCCUGAUGCAGCAACGCCGCGUGCGGGAUGACGGCCUUCGGGUUGUAAACCGCUUUCGCCUGUGACGAAGCGUGAGUGACGGUAAUGGGUAAAGAAGCACCGGCUAACUACGUG
rnacentral:rRNA from 1 species